CAGCAGCCGCGGUAAUACGAAGGGGGCUAGCGUUGUUUGGAAUUACUGGGCGUAAAGCGCACGUAGGCGGAUAUUUAAGUCAGGGGUGAAAUCCCGCAGCUCAACUGCGGAACUGCCUUUGAUACUGGGUAUCUUGAGUAUGGAAGAGGUUAGUGGAAUUGCGAGUGUAGAGGUGAAAUUCGUAGAUAUUCGCAGGAACACCAGUGGCGAAGGCGGCUAACUGGUCCAUAACUGACGCUGAGGUGCGAAAGCGUGGGGAGCAAACAGGAUUAGAUACCCCCGUAGUCCCUGUCCCUUAUAC
rnacentral:rRNA from 1 species